rnacentral:lncRNA from 1 species
GCUACUGUGAGGGUCUGUCUUGCAUCGUAAACGUUACUUUCUGCAAACUGUGACUAUCCCUGAUUCAUUGGGUGUCACAUCACAAGGACAGAUGAAGUGAAACUGGCUCUCAGUUUGGCCAUUGGGCUUUCUUGGCAUGCAAACGGAAGAAGCAGGAAUUCCCGGGUGUCUCCCUGAUGACAUCAUCUCAGCUUGGGUCUGCUGCAUUCACCCACCAUCUAUUCCAGCCAGCAAUGCUCUAUACCCUGAGUCCACAGCAGGACACAUUCAAAAUUGGACAGUCUAAUUCUCAUGGGUCCUAGUGCUAAAGCUACCCACGUGGAUUACAGUGAACAUCUGGAGGAGCGACGAUGUGCUGGACAAGAGGACAACCAAAGGCUGAAGCACGCAGGUUAGCUGUUUGAGCACUGGGGCUCUACCACAACAACCUACGCCACACAGCCUCAGGUUGGCUGCACAGCCACUAGCCCAGGAUUCCAGCUGAGGCUGGAACCAUCUGCCCUCCAAGACUCAGCCAGGAGUCCUGCCUCAAAGUUCCUGGUCACAGCAGGCUUCCAACAGCUGGAGAAAGACCCAAGGGCUUCAUUCUAUGGUCCAAGCUGGUCUGGAAGAGGAC